UGCAGUGUGACGUCAUCAGGCCAUCACGGCGGAGUACAGUGAGUUUAUGAACCUGAGGCGACGAUUCAAGACAAACGAACAAGAAGAGGAAGACGAACAGACGUCUGGUCCUGAUGAGGCUGUGGAUGAGAGAGCCUCUGCUUCUGGAUCCUGGCGUCUGUCUCUCUCACCUACUAUCUGGAUUUCUUCUCUGUCCUUCUCAACCACAGUGACAUUCACAAGUGACUAUCUACUAACCUUAACCAUAACUAGUACUGUCAGUCACCGCACGGACUCACACACAACAGCUGUUACUGACGGCUUGAACAUCGCUCUGUGGCCCGUCUGGUCGUUGGUGAUUCUGUUCACUCAGUUCCUGGGUGUGGUGAUGCUGAUCUCACUGCUGGCUUGAAA